GACGAACGCUGGCGGCGUGCUUAACACAUGCAAGUCGAACGAUGAAGCCCAGCUUGCUGGGUGGAUUAGUGGCGAACGGGUGAGUAACACGUGGGCAACCUGCCCCAAACUCUGGGAUAACUCCUCGAAAGAGGUGCUAAUACCGGGUACGAACUAGGUAGACAUCUGCACUAGUUGGAAAGUUUUUCGGUUUGGGAUGGGCCCGCGGCCUAUCAGCUUGUUGGUGAGGUAACGGCUCACCAAGGCUACGACGGGUAACCGGCCUGAGAGGGCGACCGGUCACACUGGGACUGAGACAUGGCCCAGACUCCUACGGGAGGCAGCAGUGGGGAAUAUUGCGCAAUGGGCGAAAGCCUGACGCAGCGACGCCGCGUGAGGGAUGAAGGUCUUCGGAUCGUAAACCUCUUUCAGAAGGGACGAAGCGAAAGUGACGGUACCUAAAGAAGAAGCACCGGCUAACUACGUGCCAGCCGCCGCAGUAA
rnacentral:rRNA from 1 species